rnacentral:rRNA from 1 species
GACGAACGCUGGCGGCGUGCUUAACACAUGCAAGUCGAACGGAAAGGCCCUGCUUUUGUGGGGUGCUCGAGUGGCGAACGGGUGAGUAACACGUGAGUAACCUGCCCUUGACUUUGGGAUAACAUCAGGAAACUGGGGCUAAUACCGGAUAGGAGCUCCUGCUGCAUGGUGGGGGUUGGAAAGUUUCGGCGGUCGGGGAUGGACUCGCGGCUUAUCAGCUUGUUGGUGGGGUAGUGGCUUACCAAGGCUUUGACGGGUAGCCGGCCUGAGAGGGUGACCGGCCACAUUGGGACUGAGAUACGGCCCAGACUCCUACGGGAGGCAGCAGUGGGGAAUAUUGCACAAUGGGCGGAAGCCUGAUGCAGCAACGCCGCGUGCGGGAGGACGGCCUUCGGGUUGUAAACCGCUUUCGCCUGUGACGAAGCGUGAGUGACGGUAAUGGGUAAAGAAGCACCGGCUAACUACGU